rnacentral:rRNA from 1 species
UACGUAGGGUGCAAGCGUUAAUCGGAAUUACUGGGCGUAAAGCGUGCGCAGGCGGUUUUGUAAGUCUGUCGUGAAAGCCCCGGGCUCAGCCUGGGAAUUGCGAUGGAGACUGCAAGGCUUGAAUCUGGCAGAGGGGGGGGUAGAAUUCCACGUGUAGCAGUGAAAUGCGUAGAGAUGUGGAGGAACACCGAUGGCGAAGGCAGCCCCCUGGGUCAAGAUUGACGCUCAUGCACGAAAGCGUGGGGAGCAAACAGG